rnacentral:rRNA from 1 species
AGAGUUUGAUCCUGGCUCAGGACGAACGCUGGCGGCGCGCCUAACACAUGCAAGUCGAACGAGCGAGAGAGAGCUUGCUUUCUCAAGCGAGUGGCGAACGGGUGAGUAACGCGUGAGGAACCUGCCUCAAAGAGGGGGACAACAGUUGGAAACGACUGCUAAUACCGCAUAAGCCCACGGCUCGGCAUCGAGCAGAGGGAAAAGGAGCAAUCCGCUUUGAGAUGGCCUCGCGUCCGAUUAGCUAGUUGGUGAGGUAACGGCCCACCAAGGCGACGAUCGGUAGCCGGACUGAGAGGUUGAACGGCCACAUUGGGACUGAGACACGGCCCAGACUCCUACGGGAGGCAGCAGUGGGGAAUAUUGCACAAUGGGGGAAACCCUGAUGCAGCGACGCCGCGUGGAGGAAGAAGGUCUUCGGAUUGUAAACUCCUGUUGUUGAGGAAGAUAAUGACGGUACUCAACAAGGAAGUGACGGCUAACUACGUGCCAGCAGCCGCGGUAAAACGUAGGUCACAAGCGUUGUCCGGAAUUACUGGGUGUAAAGGGAGCGCAGGCGGGAAGACAAGUUGGAAGUGAAAUCCAUGGGCUCAACCCAUGAACUGCUUUCAAAACUGUUUUUCUUGAGUAGUGCAGAGGUAGGCGGAAUUCCCGGUGUAGCGGUGGAAUGCGUAGAUAUCGGGAGGAACACCAGUGGCGAAGGCGGCCUACUGGGCACCAACUGACGCUGAGGCUCGAAAGUGUGGGUAGCAAACAGGAUUAGAUACCCUGGUAGUCCACACUGUAAACGAUGAUUACUAGGUGUUGGAGGAUUGACCCCUUCAGUGCCGCAGUUAACACAAUAAGUAAUCCACCUGGGGAGUACGACCGCAAGGUUGAAACUCAAAGGAAUUGACGGGGGCCCGCACAAGCAGUGGAGUAUGUGGUUUAAUUCGACGCAACGCGAAGAACCUUACCAAGUCUUGACAUCCUGCGACGCACAUAGAAAUAUGUGUUUCCUUCGGGACGCAGAGACAGGUGGUGCAUGGUUGUCGUCAGCUCGUGUCGUGAGAUGUUGGGUUAAGUCCCGCAACGAGCGCAACCCUUAUGGUCAGUUACUACGCAAGAGGACUCUGGCCAGACUGCCGUUGACAAAACGGAGGAAGGUGGGGAUGACGUCAAAUCAUCAUGCCCUUUAUGACUUGGGCUACACACGUACUACAAUGGCGUUAAACAAAGAGAAGCAAGACCGCGAGGUGGAGCAAAACUCAGAAACAACGUCCCAGUUCGGACUGCAGGCUGCAACUCGCCUGCACGAAGUCGGAAUUGCUAGUAAUCGCAGAUCAGCAUGCUGCGGUGAAUACGUUCCCGGGCCUUGUACACACCGCCCGUCACACCAUGAGAGCCGGGGGGACCCGAAGUCGGUAGUCUAACCGC